ACUCCUACGGGAGGCAGCAGUAGGGAAUCUUCGGCAAUGGGGGCAACCCUGACCGAGCAACGCCGCGUGAGUGAAGAAGGUUUUCGGAUCGUAAAGCUCUGUUGUAAGUCAAGAACGAGUGUGAGAGUGGAAAGUUCACACUGUGACGGUAGCUUACCAGAAAGGGACGGCUAACUACGUGCCAGCAGCCGCGGUAAUACGUAGGUCCCGAGCGUUGUCCGGAUUUAUUGGGCGUAAAGCGAGCGCAGGCGGUUUGAUAAGUCUGAAGUUAAAGGCUGUGGCUCAACCAUAGUUCGCUUUGGAAACUGUCAAACUUGAGUGCAGAAGGGGAGAGUGGAAUUCCAUGUGUAGCGGUGAAAUGCGUAGAUAUAUGGAGGAACACCGGUGGCGAAAGCGGCUCUCUGGUCUGUAACUGACGCUGAGGCUCGAAAGCGUGGGGAGCGAACAGGAUUAGAAACCCCUGUAGUCCCAU
rnacentral:rRNA from 1 species